AGCGAACGCUGGCGGCAGGCUUAACACAUGCAAGUCGAACGGGCGUAGCAAUACGUCAGUGGCAGACGGGUGAGUAACGCGUGGGAACGUACCUUUUGGUUCGGAACAACCCAGGGAAACUUGGGCUAAUACCGGAUAAGCCCUUACGGGGAAAGAUUUAUCGCCGAAAGAUCGGCCCGCGUCUGAUUAGCUAGUUGGUGAGGUAACGGCUCACCAAGGCGACGAUCAGUAGCUGGUCUGAGAGGAUGAUCAGCCACAUUGGGACUGAGACACGGCCCAAACUCCUACGGGAGGCAGCAGGUGGGGAAUAUUGGACAAUGGGCGCAAGCCUGAUCCAGCCAUGCCGCGUGAGUGAU
rnacentral:rRNA from 1 species